UCACUCACUUCAGCAGCACAUAUACUAAAAUUAGAACAAUACAGAGAAGAUUAGCAUGGUCCCUGUGCAAGGAAGAAGUUCCAUUUUGACUUUGGUGCUGCUGUGGU
rnacentral:snRNA from 1 species